rnacentral:tRNA from 1 species
GUCCUUGUCGAUUAGUGGUCAGAUCAUCACAUUGUGGGAACGCAAAACUGUGAAGACGGAGGCUCGAAUCCUCCCUGGGACA